rnacentral:lncRNA from 1 species
AAAGGAUCAGCAUGUUUUCAUCCUUACUAGGAUUUAGGCAUAAGGAUGGUUGAUGGGUAGGAAGAGAUUUGAUGAGAUGUACCAUCAGAGAUAAAAGGGAGGGAACAGAAACUUAACUGUGCUUUUACUUUUCAGAAGGGAGCCAGGGACUAUAGAUCAGGAGCCAAAACUUGGAUAAUGAGGUAAGAUUCUGGAAUGCAUGUUAUUUUGUCAUGUUUGGUGCCUACUCUUAGCAUAUUUUUUUUGAAAGCUUAUGGAAAAAAGACUCUAAACUUGACUUUGAAAACUGCUAGAAAGGGAUUUCUGUGAACCUAGCAUUCUACUCUGUCACCAAGCUGAGGAAAAAUAAAUCUUCGUGGGGGAAAAUAAAAGGGUACUGGCAGAAUUGAAAGAGAAAAGGAAAUGGACUGAGCCUCUGAGACUUAUGCAAAGUUAGCAAAUGAGCAAAAGUCUCUGGAACUGAUAGAAGUCUUAGGGCUUGGCUCACAGUUCUGGGAUUUGUGAUAACAGAUAGUUAUCCUUUGCAAAUCCUCAAAGUAGCCCAUGAAGGAACCCUGAUGUUUCAUUCUAAUCAACAAAGUGGUUUUCAGGUUAGUGGAUAACAGGGAAACCAGGAAGUGAGCCUCUGUGAGUCGGGGGAGAAAAGCAUGGCAUUGCCACAGCCAUGAUUGAUAGAGGAAACAUGCUUCCAUCCCAGUUUGUGGAGGCCUGUUGAACCAGGGGUUUGCAGGAAUCACUAGGUCACAACAUGAGGAGUAAGAAGGACUCCUCCACCCUGAGAGGUAUAUACUGAGGAAUAUCUGAUCAUGGGAUCAACUGGAGAAAACCAGUAGGAAUUGGCUUUUUAGAAAGAUCACUCAGUGUAGAGAAUGGAUUAGAGAGGGUAUGACUGCUGGGAGAGAGACCAGUUGGGAAGCUGGUAUGGGUAAUCUAGAUAAGAUGAUGAUGGUCUGAACUUGAAUAGCAGCACUGUGCGUGGGGGGAAAUGGAUCAACGCAAAGAUAUUUAAGGGGCAAAAUUAACAAAAUAUGAUAUGGGAGGUGAAGGAGCAUGGAUGUUAUCAUACACUUAUCAAGGAAUCUUUUUUUCAGUGGAACAUCUGUGAACACAUAGAAGAACGGUUAUAGCAAAACACAUGACUGAAUGGGACAAUAUAGUGAAAAUGCAAACUUUGGCCUAGAGUGAGAGCCGACGCCCCUUCACUGGGGUGGAUGAGCAGCAGAGACAGGGAGACCUGGCCCUCCCAGAACAGAGUGAAGCUGACCAGAUUGCAAUGUUCAACUCUGAACGAAAUGCCAAAAACAAGUACCUGAAGGCUAAAGACAGUGAACAAAAGCAGGCAAGUUUUGGUGGGAAGAUGAAACUUGGAAGAAGGUGCCAUUAAGAGGAGGUAAGUUUCCUGGUUUUGAUGUGUUAGCCUGAGGGCAGUCUACUAGCAGAGUAGCUAAAACACAAUAGAAAGCCAUCUUUUUUUUUUUUUUUUUUUUUUUUUUUUUUUUUUUUUUUUUUUUUUUUGGCUUGAACAACCUGAGAGCAGAGUCUGCAGCAACACAGUCACUGGAUGGAGGGGGAAAUCCCAGAACAGAGGCAGAGAAGGUCAUGCCGCAAUUUCUGAGUAUGAACUUUGCUUAGAUCUCUAGCUGACCCCUGAGGCACACCUGUGGGGUAGACCCAAAGCAAUCUGCAGCUAGUCAGAACUCAACUGAGAUGUGAUUUACUUAUAACCACAGGUUGGGUCAGUUUGCAGUUUGAGUUGAACCAAGUUAAUCGAUUGCCUGCCAUAGCAAAAACAUCGACACUAUUCUGAGGAGUAAAACGGAAUCCGUGGUUUCCACAACAUAACAGUCACAAUUCAAAAUUACUCAGCAUAGGAGGAACCAGAAAAAGGCAGUCCUUUGCAAAAGAUAAGACAAUUAAUGGAAGCCAACCCUGAGAUAACAUAGAUGUUGGCCUGAUCAGACAAGGACUAUGAAACAGCUAUUAUAACUAUGCUCAAUGAGGUAAAAGAAAAUAUGUUGUAAUGAAUGGAAAGAUAAGAAAUCUCAGCAAGGAUGGAGAAAUAUUUAGAAAUGUCGAUGAAAAGAGUCAAACUCUGUAAAAUAUUUGAAUAGAUUUAUUCUGAGCCAAAUAUGAGCGACCACGACACGUGACACAGCCGUCAGGAGGUCCUGAGAACAUGUGCCCAAGGUGGUUGGGGUUCAGCUUGGUUAUAUACAUUUUGGGGAGGCAUGAAACAUCAAUCAAAUACAUUUGAAAAAUACAUUGGUUUGUUCCAGAAAGGCAGGACAAUUUGAAGUGGGGGGGAUGGUGCUUCCAGGCUAUAGGUAAAUUUAAUCAUUUCUGGUUGACAAUUGGUUGAGUUUGUAUAAAGACCUGAGAUUAAUAGAAGAAUUUGAGCAAGAUAAAAAAUCAGAGCUUAGUCCUCAGAAAGAACCAAACAAAUUUUACAAAAGAACCAAACAAUAUCUGAGAUAAAAAUAUAUCUCUUAAUUCACUAUGCUAAACUGCCUCCCUGCUUCUCAAUGUUUAUCUGUUAGAUCAAGUUUAUGUUUAUCAAUUGUGUUUAGACCUUAUCUCCAUUUACUAAGUUAAGGUCUUUUUGAUUUAUAAGUUUCUGAAAGAGGCAUAAUAAAAAUUCCCACUAUGGCUGUGGCUAUAUCAAUUUUAGCUUGUAAUUCUGACUGUUCCCACUUUUGUAUGUUGAGAUUUUUUGCUAGGGUCAUUCACAUUUAUGAUUAUUAUAUCUGCUUUGUAAAUUGUUCCUUAUGUAGCAUCUCACUUUAUCCUUAUUUAUGUCUUUUCUUAAAUUCUAUUUUCUUUACUUUUUAACAUCAAUAUUUUGUCAAAAUUUGUAGAGUAAAAUGUUUAAGAAAAUCAAGGAAAGAAAAUAUGAGCCAGAAAUUUUAUAAGAAGACAAACUGACCUUUAAUUAUAAGAGUCACAGGCAAGUUCUAAUGAAAACAUUAGAAUUCAGGGACUAUUUUUCCCAGAUCGUUCCUAAGGAAUCUACUAAACAGCAUGAACAUUAAACAACCAACAUAAUUGAAAAGUUUGAUAUGAGGAUUUAUGGUAAGGAUGAAUCAUAUAUUUAUUUACAGAAAUAAGUCUAAAUUAUGCUUACAAGGAAUAGAGAAUAGUAUGCAAUGGUUGUGUGCUCUGACAAUGUAGAUACAGUACAACUAUAAAAAAUUGGUGGGGGAGUGGGGAGAGCUAUGAAAAGCAGAAUUAGCUUGUCAUUUGCCUUAUAGUUAUUAACUGAAGUAAAAGGACAUUACUUCAAAUCAGAUGUUGAGGAAAAGGGAGAGUUGGGGCAAAAGAGGUUUAUAGUUACUUUCAAUAUUGCUCAUUAGAGGGAAGCAAUAGUCAUUUACCAAGAAAAAA